UUCCCCAAAUUUCCCGACACCCUAACUCCCACGACGCUCCCCCUCCCUCUUUGGCGACGACGAUGAUUGGCUGAUCCACUCCAACCGCCUCCAGCUCGUGAAGCUCUGUCAAGGCAUAACCUACUCCCUCUCCCCUCUCAUUUCCCCUCCCGUCACCGGUCUGAUCUGUGACGCGAUGAGGUGAGAUGGCCGCUAGCCAUGUCGGCGAGGCUGGACACAACCUCGGACAUCACCUCAUGUUGGUGGUGAGGCUGGUCAUGAUCAAAAGAGAGCGAGGGAGGAGUAUCAGAUGGAGGGAGGGAGGAGAUGCUGUCUGGAGGUACUAUGCGGAGAUUGUUUAAGGGCUCGCUGAAGGUUCUUGAAGCCGACAUCCAACAUGCAAGCACUUUGUAUAUUGUUGUUGUUUUCCCCAAAUCUAGUUUUGCUACAGGUUAACUGGUGCGUCUGAUUUUUUAUGUAUCAAAGUAGUAUUUUGAGGCUUUUAUCCGUU